UUCCGGUUGAUCCUGCCGGACCCGACUGCUAUCAGAGUAGGACUAAGCCAUGCGAGUCAACGUAUGAAUAAUACGUGGCGAACGGCUCAGUAACACGUAGUCAACAUGCCCACAGGACGUGGAUAACCUCGGGAAACUGAGGAUAAACCGCGAUAGGUCAUAACUACUGGAAUGUGUUAUGGCUCAAAUCUAUAUGGCCUUUGGAUUGGACUGCGGCCGAUCAGGCUGUUGGUGAGGUAAUGGCCCACCAAACCUGUAACCGGUACGGGCUCUGAGAGGAGGAGCCCGGAGAUGG
rnacentral:rRNA from 1 species